rnacentral:misc_RNA from 1 species
CAAGAAUCGAGGCUGACGGUGCCUACUCCCUAGGCUCCGUCCAGUCCCGCUCUCUGCCUUGCCUACUGCACCGUUUGUUGCUUCCUGGCGGCGUCCCGUCGCCAGGGCCUUUUGAAAGCCAAGUAUAAGCAUUGAAACUUCUGACAUACACUAAAUCGUA